UAAAUUGAAUUUAAUCUGAGUUUUGAUGAACAUCUACAUGAUCAGUGACUUAAAUAUAUGGAAAAUACAUGAUUUACUCUGAAAAAGGCAAAAUAUUAAGAAUAAUAUAACUGAGGUGAGAAAUCAUUUAGGGAAUGAAUAUCCAUCCACCAUUAUCUUCUGCUUUAUCAUGAAUGAAUGAAUAUUUUCUCAUUAAAUAUUCAUCUGUUAAUAAAAAUCAUGUUACUGAUAAAACUGACAAAUUAAAAACUAACUUGUAAUGGAAUGUUUUUACAUUCCUUGGUGUUUUUACUGAAUUAAAGGUUGUGCUUUUGGUUGCAGAGCUGCGUGGACCUCUGCAGAGUAGUGAUGCAUUCUGGGAAACAGCUGAUAAUGAGGCGUUCAGGCACAUGCAGGAACGACAGCUGCUCAUGUGCUUCUUCAGUUAAAUAAAACGUGUCUUCAAACGCGUCGUCUGAAGAAACGCUGUCGUAUUUCAGCUGUGGAAUGUAGAUCUGCCAGCGCCCCCUAGAGGAGCACAACACCUGCACUGAAAGGGUUAAAAAUACACCCAAUAAUAACAAAGAAGAACAAGAAGAACGACACCAGAUGGACCAGCCUCUGUACAGAGGAGGAUCACAACCACUGGAAAAAUAAAAAAUGAAGAAGACAGUUUCUCUUGGUCCUAUCCAUAGGCCAACACCAGGGGGGCGGAGCCAACACCAGGGGGCGGAGCUUGGACAUGUUUACGCUCUGGGACCCGUUUGACAAAAAUACGACGCCGCUGUCAUGUGACCAACAGACCAAACCAUAUGAAACCGAAGCAGACUGACACAGUCUGGUGUCAGUGUGGUGGGAAAGGGAGGCAGCAGGAGGGUGGGAGCGUCCACUCCAACAACAGCCACUCAUGAAAGGUGUUAAAAUUAACAGCUACAACCAGCAGCACCUGAACGCCUCACAGACUGAGAACCAGGACCUGACACCUCCGAGCAGAGGGAGUGAAGUUCCCACACUGAGACUCCUGCCAGGACCUCCUGCACAGCCCUGACCUCCUACUACUCCUCCUGCUCCUCCUGCUCCUCCUCCUCCUCCAAACAGACUCACACUUUCCCUCCAGGUUUUUAUUUGUAUUUUCACAUUUUCUUCAGCUUUUGGGAGUGUCCUGUUGGAAAACCACCGGACAUUUGUCUCUUUGUUUUUCAUAUUACCUCCACCAAGGAGGUCAUGUUUUAGAAUAGAAUAGAAUAGAAUAGAAUAGAAUAGAAUAGAA